CCAGUAGCGUAUAUUAAAGUUGUUGCAGUUAAAAAGCUCGUAGUUGAAUUUCGGGAUCAGUUCGUCGGUCGUGCCUUUGGUAUGUACUGGUGUUACUGGUUCCUCCCUUCUGACGAACCGUCAUGUCAUUAAUUUGGUGUGGCGGGAAAUCAGGACUGUUACUUUGAAAAAAUUAGAGUGUUUAAAGCAGGCUCGCGCUUGAAUACAUUAGCAUGGAAUAAUGAAAUAGGACGUUCGAUCCUAUUUUGUUGGUUUCUAGGAUUGACGUAAUGAUUAAUAGUGAUAGUUGGGGGCAUUAGUAUUCAAUUGUCAGAGGUGAAAUUCUUGGAUUUAUUGAAGACUAACUACUGCGAAAGCAUUUGCCAAGGAUGUUUUCAUUAAUCAAGAACGAAAGUUAGGGGAUCGAAGACGAUCAGAUACCGUCGUAGUCUUAACCAUAAACUAUGCCGACUAGGGAUCGGAUGAUGUUAAUUUUUUAAUGACUCAUUCGGCGCCUUACG
rnacentral:rRNA from 1 species